UACGUAGGGUGCAAGCGUUGUUCGGAAUUACUGGGCGUAAAGGGCUCGUAGGUGGCCAACUAAGUCAGACGUGAAAUCCCUCGGCUUAACCGGGGAACUGCGUCUGAUACUGGAUGGCUUGAGUUUGGGAGAGGGAUGCGGAAUUCCAGGUGUAGCGGUGAAAUGCGUAGAUAUCUGGAGGAACACCGGUGGCGAAGGCGGCAUCCUGGACCAAGACUGACACUGAAAAGCGAAAGCCAGGGGAGCAAACGGG
rnacentral:rRNA from 1 species